AACGAACGCUGGCGGCGUGCCUAACAUAUGCAAGUCGAGCGAGAAAGGCGCCUUCGGGUGCUGAGUAAAGCGGCGGACGGGUGAGUAACACGUGGGUAACCUACCCUUCGGUGGGGGAUAACAUCCUGAAAGGGGUGCUAAUACCGCAUGAGACCCCAGCGCUUUCGGGCGCAGAGGUCAAAGGCGGCGUUCUUCGGGGCGUCGUUGCCGAAGGAGGGGCCCGCGGACCAUUAGCUAGUUGGUGGGGUAAUGGCCUACCAAGGCUGCAAUGGUUAGCUGGUCUGAGAGGAUGAUCAGCCACACUGGAACUGAGACACGGUCCAG
rnacentral:rRNA from 1 species